AGAGAUGAGAGUUUGAUCCUGGCUCAGAGCGAACGCUGGCGGCGUGCCUAACACAUGCAAGUCGGACGGGGUGCACGGGGCGGAGGAUUUCGGUCCGAAGCGCCGUGUACCCAGUGGCGGACGGGUGAGUA
rnacentral:rRNA from 1 species